GGAUGUGAGGGUGAUCUAGUUGUGACAUCUCUCACCCCAUUGAUCUUAAGGGUUGAUUCAACUGAUCUGGCUGGGUAGCUGGGUGUCUCCUUCCUCCCUCAACACUCCAUGUACACCCCUCCCAAAGCUGCAUGUUCUGUGUAAUAGGAUGACCUUCCCAGAUAGGGGAGGACUAUUCCUUGGUCAAGGGUAUAGGAGAAGCUAUGGAAUUUAAGAAAAAAGGCAGCAAAGUAUAGGGUACAAAAGGGAAAAAUGAAACAAGAUGAAACCAUAGAGGAAAACAAACCAUAAGAGACUCUUAAUGU
rnacentral:sRNA from 1 species